rnacentral:rRNA from 1 species
AUUGAACGCUGGCGGCAUGCUUUACACAUGCAAGUCGAACGGCAGCGGGGUAGUGCUUGCACUACUGCCGGCGAGUGGCGAACGGGUGAGUAAUAUAUCGGAACGUACCGAGUAAUGGGGGAUAACCAAUCGAAAGAUUGGCUAAUACCGCAUACGUCCUAAGGGAGAAAGCGGGGGAUCGCAAGACCUCGCGUUAUUCGAGCGGCCGAUAACUGAUUAGCUAGUUGGUGGGGUAAAGGCCUACCAAGGCGACGAUCAGUAGCGGGUCUGAGAGGACGAUCCGCCACACUGGGACUGAGACACGGCCCAGACUCCUACGGGAGGCAGCAGUGGGGAAUUUUGGACAAUGGGGGCAACCCUGAUCCAGCCAUGCCGCGUGUAUGAAGAAGGCCUUCGGGUUGUAAAGUACUUUUGUUAGGGAAGAAAAGGGAAGUGCUAAUACCACUUUUUGCUGACGGUACCUAGAGAAUAAGCACCGGCUAACUACGUGCCAGCAGCCGCGGUAAUACGUAGGGUGCGAGCGUUAAUCGGAAUUACUGGGCGUAAAGCGAGCGCAGACGGUUACUUAAGCAGGAUGUGAAAUCCCCGGGCUUAACCUGGGAACUGCGUUCUGAACUGGGUAGCUAGAGUAUGUCAGAGGGGGGUAGAAUUCCACGUGUAGCAGUGAAAUGCGUAGAGAUGUGGAGGAAUACCGAUGGCGAAGGCAGCCCCCUGGGAUGAUACUGACGUUCAUGCUCGAAAGCGUGGGUAGCAAACAGG